rnacentral:misc_RNA from 1 species
GAUGAAGAACGUAGCGAAAUGCGAUAAGUAAUGUGAAUUGCAGAAUUCAGUGUAUCAUCGAAUCUUUGAACGCACAUUGCGCCCGCCAGUAUUCUGGCGGGCAUGCCUGUUCGAGCGUCAUUUCCACCAUCAGGCCCCCGGGCCUGUGUUGGGGACCUGCGGCUGCCCGCAGGCCCCGAAAUUCAGUGGCGGUCGCGCCGUAGCAACCGAGCGUAGUAACUAAAACGUCUCGCUCUGGCUCGCUGGGCGCGCUCCGGCCGUAAAACACCCCCCCUUUUCGCAAAGGUUGACCUCGGAUCAGGUAGGAAUACCCGCUGAACUUAAGCAUAUCAAUAAGCGGAGGA